CCAAUAAGGUGGAGCUGUGGUGAUUCCUCCCACAGGAAAGGUUCAGUGAGGGAUUUCCUGAGGGAUUGCUGCUCUCACAGGGCAGAACUCUUCCUUCUGAGUUCUUCUUCGCUUUCUCACCUGACCAGAGCUCAGCAUUUCCUCUUUGGGGAGGAUGUUUGCCAUGCACUGCAAAAAAAUGGAAAAACAAACAGGGAUCUGUCUGUCUCAUCCCCUACAAUUAUCCCAAAGGAAAGUUAUUUUAAGGAAAAUUUAAAGAAAGAAAUUUCAUUUGCAUAUAAAUGUACAUCUUAUUCAGCACUAAACUGGCAAUAUCAAAGCUAACUGAGGAUCCUGUAUUUGAAAAGAAUGGACUACAUAGCUUGCCUGCUCACAGAUUUGGUCACAUUUGGAGCUGAGCUGCUGCAGAAUUCAUCAGGAAUAUGGAAAAUCUGGCAAUUCCUUGCUCCUGGAAGAAUUUCAGGGAAUUCCAGCUCCUAGGGAAGGAAUGACCCAUGCUGCAGGUGUCAGCACAUCCUGCUGGUGCAGAGGCAGCACCAGCUGCAGUAAUAUUUCCUGAGUUCAAUCAACCUCUGAGAUGUCUCAGAUGUGCAACAGCUCAGCUGAACUGAUGAUGUGCUCUCAUCUUCUCUGGGAUUUUUAAAAUGCCCACCAUGGCUGGUGGGCUGGUAAGUGCCCUGGGAUGUGGAUAAAAAACCCAGGAGUGAUCUUUGACUUGUGGAUUUAUCCCUAGUACAGCCCACCAAAUUUCUUUCAGGCAAUUUGUACUGAUCAGCUCUGAAUUACCUUUCUGUGUACAGAUCUCUUAGCUGAGUUUGCAGCCAUGGAGUUUUUGGUUCCCUGUAGUUCUGCACUCUAAGUGCAGUCUAGAAGUGUUCAAUCUGAGCAUCACAGUACCUCGGGAACUCCUGAAUUUUCCUUCUCCUCUACCUGGUGGUACCACUGCAACCCAGCUGCUGAAUUGGGCAAUCUGUUCACUAAA